CGAACAACUAAUAAUCUUUUCAAUUUCACUCCUCCAUCAAAAUCAACGAACAACUAAUAAUCUUUUCAAUUUCACUCCUCCAUCAAAAUCAAAUAUAUAAAAUGAGAUUUCACGUUGUUGUGUGCCAGAUCUAAGCAAGUCUUGAAGAAGAAGAAGAAGAAGACUCUAGCCAGAGAUCUCCAUCUCUCUCUCUUCGCCUCUGUUGCUUCAUCUCCAACCACUUGAGUCAUGUCUCCGAGCAAGCUCGACUCCACCUAUUUGUGUCUUGUCUGAUAGGCUUCCUAUGGAAAUGGGGAUGCAAGUGUUUCGUGCUCACAGCCAGAGAAUGGUUUUGUUGAUUCACUUCCUCUCAUUCAGUCAGAGAAGGCAGUGCAGGAACUUCUUCAACAGACUCCUGUUCAGGGAACAGAUGAACAUCUUAUAGAGUUUUCUGAGGCCUUGAGAACUGUUGCAAAGGCAUUAAGACGAGUUGUUGAAGGAGAGGCUGCUGCUCAAGCUAAGGCUGCAGAAUGGAAACGUAGAUAUGAACUGGAGAGGACACGAAAUCUGCAGAUGGAACGUAGAGGUUCUUAUUGAUGGAAUAUGAUAGAUAAAUUAUGACGAUCUAUGACUUUGAACUUCUGUGAAAAUUUUUAAAACUUUAGAUAGCAAAGCUCAUUUCAAUUAUAUGAAGUUAGCUAGACCAAUCUUCUUUUGCAUUUGAAUCUUAUAUUAGGUUUAUUUUUUCAGUAAAACUGUAGUGCAUUUCCCUUUACAGCUUCUUUCCAGUUUCUUUUC